AUGGCGACUCUCGGCUCACCACCAUGGAGCCUCCUCUGCGCUCUCGGGGCCCUGCUGGCCGCGCUGUGGUGCGCCGGCCGGGCGCUGACCGGCGCCUGGCUCCGCCCGCGGAGGCUGGCCCAGACCCUGCGGUCCCAGGGCGUCCGCGGCACGCAGUACCGCUUCCCCUCCGGCGACAUGAACAAGUACGUGCGGCUCAUCGCGGCGGCGUGCUCCCAGCCCAUGCCGAUGUCCUCACACGCCGUCGCCGCCCUAGCAGUGCCGUUCGACCAUGCCAUCAUCAAGCAACAUGGUAAAGUUGCUCUAACUUGGUUCGGUCCGGAGCCGAGGGUGGUGGUGAGCGACCCUCAGCUGUUCCGGGAGAUCCUGUCGAACAAGCAGGGCCAGUUCGGGAAGCACAGGUCCAUCCUCCGGAUCGAGCGCCUCUUGGCCAACGGCCUGACGACUCACCAGGGCGACAAGUGGGUCGCCCACCGCAGGAUCAUCAACCACGCCUUCCAUCUCCAGAAGCUCAAGAGGAUGUUGCCUGCUUUCGCGGCCUCUUCAAGCGAAUUGGUGCGGAGAUGGGGAAGCUCUAUGGGGAAGGGUGAUGUGCAGGAGAUAGAUGUGUGGCCAGAGUUUCAGAACCUCACGGGCGACGUGAUAUCCCGAGUGGCGUUCGGGAGCAGCUUCAGUGAAGGGAGAAAGAUCUUCCAGUUGCAGUCAGAGCAGGCGCAAAAUGCUGUCAAGAUGGCAAACGUGAUGUACAUUCCAGGCUACAGGUUCCUGCCAACAAAGCUCAAUUGA
rnacentral:rRNA from 1 species